GCGCCCUUAGCUCAGCUGGAUAGAGCACCUCCCUUCUAAGGAGGUGGUCGAAGGUUCGAAUCCUUCAGGGCGUG
rnacentral:tRNA from 3 species